rnacentral:rRNA from 1 species
UACAGAGGGUGCAAGCGUUAAUCGGAAUUACUGGGCGUAAAGCGUGCGGAGUCGGUUUUGUAAGUCUGUCGUGAAAGCCCCGGGCUCAACCUGGGAAUUGCGAUGGAGACUGCAAGGCUUGAAUCUGGCAGAGGGGGGUAGAAUUCCACGUGUAGCAGUGAAAUGCGUAGAGAUGUGGAGGAACACCGAUGGCGAAGGCAGCCCCCUGGGUCAAGAUUGACGCUCAUGCACGAAAGCGUGGGGAGCAAACAGG